CUCAGAAUCAACGCGGGCGGCGCGCCUAGCACAUGCAAGUCGAACGAGAAAGCCGGGGCAACCUGGUGAGUACAGUGGCGUACGGGUGAGUAACACGUGGGUAAUCUACCUCUUAGUGUGGAAUAACCCUGGGAAACCGGGGCUAAUACCGCAUAAGCUCGAGAGAGGAAAGCAGCAAUGCGCUGAGAGAGGAGCCCGCGGCCGAUUAGCUAGUUGGUGAGGGUAAAGGCCCACCAAGGCAGAGAUCGGUAGCCGGCCUGAGAGGGCACACGGCCACACUGGCACUGAAACACGGGCCAGACUCCUACGGGAGGCAGCAGUGGGGAAUCUUGCACAAUGGGGGAAACCCUGAUGCAGCGACGCCGCGUGAGCGAUGAAGCCCUUCGGGGUGUAAAGCUCUUUCGGCAGGGAAGAUGAUGACGGUACCUGCAGAAGCAGCUGCGGCUAACUACGUGCCAGCAGCCGCGGUAAUACGUAGGCAGCAAGCGUUGUUCGGAGUUACUGGGCGUAAAGGGUGCGUAGGCGGUUGUUUAAGUUUGGUGUGAAAUCUCCCGGCUCAACUGGGAGGGUGCGCCGAAUACUGAAUGACUAGAGUGCGGGAGAGGAGAGUGGAAUUCCUGGUGUAGCGGUGAAAUGCGUAGAUAUCAGGAGGAACACCGGCGGUGUAGACGGCUCUCUGGACCGCAACUGACGCUGAGGCACGAAAGCGUGGGUAGCAAACAGGAUUAGAUACCCUGGUAGUCCACGCCCUAAACGAUGCAUAUUUGGUGUGGGUCAUUCAGUUGAUCCGUGCCGGAGCUAACGCGUUAAAUAUGCCGCCUGGGGAGUACAGUCGCAAGGCUGAAACUUAAA
rnacentral:rRNA from 1 species